rnacentral:rRNA from 1 species
GAUGAACGCUGGCGGCGUGCUUAACACAUGCAAGUCGAACGAAGCACUUUAUUUGAUUUCCUUCGGGACUGAUUAUUUUGUGACUGAGUGGCGGACGGGUGAGUAACGCGUGGGUAACCUGCCUUGUACAGGGGGAUAACAGUUGGAAACGGCUGCUAAUACCGCAUAAGCGCACAGCAUCGCAUGAUGCAGUGUGAAAAACUCCGGUGGUAUAAGAUGGACCCGCGUUGGAUUAGCUAGUUGGUGAGGUAACGGCCCACCAAGGCGACGAUCCAUAGCCGACCUGAGAGGGUGACCGGCCACAGUGGGACUGAGACACGGCCCAAACUCCUACGGGAGGCAGCAGUGGGGAAUAUUGCACAAUGGGCGAAAGCCUGAUGCAGCGACGCCGCGUGAGCGAAGAAGUAUUUCGGUAUGUAAAGCUCUAUCAGCAGGGAAGAUAAUGACGGUACCUGACGAAGAAGCACCGGCUAAAUACGUG